rnacentral:lncRNA from 10 species
GGCGGGGGUCACAAGGUGCUCAGUGGGGGAGCUUCUGAGCCAGGAGAAGGAAAUUCACAGGGUUAAUCACUCAGUUAAGGUGGGGCAAGAACAAAUCACCAUGGUGGAAUGUCAUCAGUUAAGGCGGGGCAGGGCCUUUUCAGUUCUUUUGUGAUUCUUCAGUUACUUCAGGCCAUCUGGGCGUAUACGUGCAAGUCACAGGGGAUGCGAUGGCUUGGCUUGGGCUCAGAGGCCUGACAUUCCUGCCUUCUUAUAUUAAUAAGAAAAAUAAAACAAAAUUGUGUUGAAGUGUUGGGGCGGUGAAAAUUUUUGGGGGGUGGUAUGGAGAGAGAAUGGGCGAUGUUUCUCAGGGCUGCUUCAAGCGGGAUUAGGGGCGGCGUGGGAACCUAGAGUGGGAGAGAUUAAGCUGAAGGGAGGUCUUGUGGUAAGGGGUGACAUUGAGGGGGUUGUUAGAAGAAACAUUUGUCAUACAGAAAGAUUGGUGAUGGCCUGGAUACGGUUUUGUAUGAACUGAAAAACUAAAUGGAAUAAGAGAAGGAGAAAAACAGGUAUAAAAGGACUAAGAAUUGGGAGGAUCUAGGACAUCUAAUUAGAGAAUGCCUAAGGAGGUUCAGCAUAGUCCUUCCAGCGAAGAUUAUUUAUUUACUUCAAGAGUUAAGAGUGGCAGUUUGGGGAUAGCAUGAGGAGAUAUCAGCCAUGAUGGCUUGGAGAAACAGUGUAAACUGGCAGUGUAAACAAGAGCAGGGCAUGUAUGAGUAGUUGAGAACGGAGAAUAGGAGUAUGACUAGACGGAAAAUAGUAGGGAUGACAAGUUUUUUUGGGGGCACAGUCUAAGUUGGUCUGGUGUCUGGGAUGAGACUGGGGCCUAAUAAAAAGGAGCUUAAAUGGACUGUACCUUGUAGCAUUCUGAGGACAGGUCUGACUUCUGAGAAGGGAAAGUGGUAAAAGUAUUGUCCAGUUCUUUUUAAGUUGGUGGCUGAGCUUGGUGAGGUGUGUUUUUAAAAGACCUUUAGUCCGUUCUACUUUUCUUGAAGACAGAGGACUAUAAGGGAUAUAAACUGAAAAACUGCUUGGCUAAUUUGACUAAUAAAGCCUGGUCUGUUAUCAGACUGUAUAGAGGUGGGAAGGCUAAACUGAGGAAUUAUGUCUGACAGAAGGGAAGAAAUGACUGCGGUGGCCUUCUCAGACCCUGUAGGAAAGGCCUCUACCUAUCUAGUGAAAAUGUCUACUUAGACUAAGAGGUAUUUUAGUUUUUGUGACUCGGGGCAUGUGGAGUAAAGCUAAUUUGCCAGUCCUGGGCGGGGGCAAAUCCUCGAGCUUGAUGUGUAGGGAAGGGAGGGGCCUGAAUGAUCCUUGAGGAGUAGCAGAAUAGCAGAUAGAAUAGCAGAUGGAACACUGAGAAGUUAUUUCCUUGAGGAUAGAUUUCUACAAUGGAAAGGAAAUGAGAGGUUCUAAGAGAUGGGCUAGUGGCUUGUAAUAUGGGGAAAUGGGGUGAAUGUCAGGUGGAUCAGAGAGAUGCAGUCAUGGGGAUCAGGUGUGGUAUCAGGAAUAAUGUGGGAGGCCAGAUUGAAGUCUGGGCCAGGAACAAUGGUAAUUGUGGGACUUAACAAAGAAUGAGUACAGCUGAAGGAGCCGGGGAGCAGAAAGUAUAUGCGUCAGGUAUGAGGAAGAAAAUAGAUUUUGGAAGUUAUGAGAAAUGUAGAGAGUGAGUUGAACAUAGUUUGUGAUUUUUAGGGCCUCUAAAAUUAUUAAAGCAGCGGCAGCUGCUGCAUGCAGACAUGAGGGCUAGGCUAAAACAGUAAGGUCAAGUUGUUUGGACAGAAAGGCUACAGGGUGGGGUCCUGGCUCUUGUGUAAGAAUUCUGACCGCACUAACCAUGCCUAGGAAGGAAAGGAGUUGUUGUUUUGUAAGGGAUUGAGGUUUGGGAGAUUAAUCAGACACCAUCAGCAGGGAGAGCACCUGUGUUUUUGUGAAGAAUUAUGCCGAGGUAGGUAACGGAUGGAGAAGAAAUUUGAGCUUUGGAGGGGGAUACCCGAUAUCCUUUGGAGAAUAAAUGCUGAAGGAGCAGAAGUAUGUCUUGUUGAGAAGAUUCAAAGGAGGGGCUACAAAGAAGAAGGUCAUCAAUAUAUUGAAUAAGGUGAGAAGUGGAGGGGUGGAAAGAAAGUAGAUCAUGAGAAAGAGCUUGGCUGAAGUAAUGAGGGCUGUCCCUGGAACCUUGCGGCAGCACAGCCCAGGUAAGCUGCUGAGCCUAAUGGGUGUCAGGGUCAGUCUAAGUGAAGGCAAAGAGAGGCUGAGAUGAAGAGUGCAAAGGAAUAGUAAAGAAAGCAUGUUUGAGAUCCAGAACAGAAUAAUGGGUAGUAGAGGGAGGUAUUGAGGAUAGGAGAGUAUAUGGGUUUGGCACCACGGGGUGGAUAGGCAAAACAAUUUGGUUGAUAAGGCACAGAUUCUGAACUAAGUUGUAAGCCUUGUCUGGUUUUAGGACAGGUAAAACGGGGGAAUUGUAAGGAGAGUUUAUAGGCUUUAAAAGGCCAUGCUGUAGCAGGUGAGUGAUAACAGGCUUUAAUCCUUUCAAAGCAUGCUGUGGGAUGGGAUAUUGGCAUUGAGUCGGGUAAGCGUGAUUAGGUUUUAAUGAGAUGGUAAGGGGUGCAUGAUCGGUCGCCAAGGAGGGAGUAGAGGUAUCUUAUACUUGUGGGUUAAGGUGGGGGAAUACAAGAGGAGGACGCAAAGGAGGCUUUGGAUUGGGAAGAAGGGCAGCAAUGAGAUGCAGCUGUAGUCCAGGAAUAGUCAGGGAAGCAGAUAAUUUGGUUAAAAUAUCUCGGCCUGAUAAGGGAACUGGGCAGGUGGAGAUAACUAAAAAAGAGUGCAUAAAAGAGUGUUGUUCAAGUUGGCACCAGAGUUGGGGAGUUUUAAGAGGUUUAGAAGCCUGGCUGUCAAUACCCACAACAGUUAUGGAGGCAAGGGAAACAGGCCCUUGAAAAGAAGGUAAUGUGGAGUGGGUAGCCUCCAUAUUGAUUAAGAAGGGGACAGACUUACCCUCCACUGUGAGAGUUACCUAAAGCUCGGUGUCCAUGGUGGUCUACAGGGCUUCUGAGGCGAUCAGGCAGCGUCAGUCUUCAGCCACUAAGCCAAGAAGGAGUCAGUCAGAGAGCCUUGGGCCAGAGUUCCAGGGGCGCUGGGAGUGGCUGCCAGGUGCACCUGGGAUUGGCUCUUGCUUCCUAAGGAACCUCAAAAAAGCUGCAACCUAUUGGAGACUUUUGAUUCAGCAUCAAGGAUAUGCGUGAGACUUUGGUUCUUUUCUGUUGGGACACAGUUGAUUCUGACUGUCUUAAAGUUAGGCUUUUCUAAAGAUUUAGACUAAUAAAUUAUUUGAAUGGGACAACACACAUCAUUUGCUUUAUUAUACUUUAAAUAUGGCAGAACGGUGUAUUACCACCCCAAUCCCAAUCACCGGUACCUCCAUAGGCAGAGAUGUUAUCCUUAUUUUGCUGAAGAAGGAAUUAGGGUUACUCAGAGUCAUGCAGUUGGAAAGAGAUAGAAUGGAACUUUAACCUGUAUGUUCUGAUUAUUAUUCAGUCU